GAUGAAGAACGUAGCGAAAUGCGAUAAGUAAUGCGAAUUGCAGAAUUCCGUGAGUCAUCGAAUCUUUGAACGCACAUUGCGCCCUUUGGCAUUCCGAAGGGCAUGCCUGUUCGAGCGUCAUUUAUCAACCCUCAAGCCCGGCUUGCGGUUGGGUCCCGCCGUGGGCGACCACGGCGGACCCGAAAGGUAAUGGCGGUGCCCGUGGGGCCCUGGACGCAGCGAGCUUCUCGGCACGCGUCCCGGCGGUCCCCGGCGCCGUCUCCACCAAUCCACCACGCAGAUUGACCUCGGAUCAGGUAGGGAUACCCGCUGAACUUAAGCAUAUCAUAGCGGAGGA
rnacentral:misc_RNA from 1 species